rnacentral:lncRNA from 1 species
AUGAAUCAAACUGAACCAACCAAAGAAACUGGGUUCACUUGGGUCCAGGUGCUGUCUGGGAGAGCAAUGCUUCUGCAUAUCCUCAUCCUCUUGCUGGUCACCAUGAGUGCAGCCCAAGGGAAUGGACAGCAGGACAACAGCUCCCAGAGUAAACAGCUACCCAAGAAACACUUGAGAUUCGUCACUGGAAAUUGGAUAGAAGAGAUGGAGAAUGAGGUGAAGAACAGCACUGAGAAGAUGCUGAAGGUCCUGAACCAGAUAUCGCACAUGAAGGACCAGAUGACGCAAAUUAUGCUGACUACUGAGAAGCUGGAGAAACAGCUGCUGGCUGAGAGUCACACACUGCAAAUGCUGAAGGGCCACAGCAGUGAACUUGACCCUCAGGUGUUGGUUGUGGAGUUUCAGCAACAAACCCAGCUGGCCGGUAUGAAAAAUUUGAAGCUGAAGCUGAAGCAGAUUCUGGACCUCCAGAGCAGUACCCUCACUAGCAUCCAGGACAGUCUGCAAGCUGCAAGCAUCAGCUCCAGUAACCGGCAAAAGUAUCAGGCCCAGCUGCUGGAGAUACAGCAGCAGCUCAGGCAGCAGGUAGAGCAGGAUCCAGAUGAAUGAAAAGAAUAUGUACAUGGAGACACCAGAAACUCUGGAGCCUGGAUUCCUUUCCACAAGAAAGUGGACAAUUAAUUGAAGAUGGU